CGCAAACAAAUUUGGGACGACGCGACGGUUACUCGACAUAAUGGCGGUCUCACUUCAGUCACUAUCCACGGAGGAUAUUCUUCAGAAAUAAGAAGCUGGAAUACAGGUCACCGAAGAUGAAGCACAGAAAUUCAGAGAGAAUGAGGUUGAUGGUGAAACAAUAGAUUGUGGCCUUACAGAGAACAUGGUUUCAUACUUAUUUGAAGGCUUCUUUAAAAAACAGGCUAAGUUUAACAAAUUUGCACGUGAGAUGAAGGAGGUGGUGACAAUAACUUAAGAACCAGUGCCGGCAGAGAACUAUCAAGAUACUUCAUCUACUGAAAUCACACUUGGCACCAAUCCCUCAAACGGAAAUUUAAAGCUGAACGUGCACCUCUGGUCCAUGAUGAGGUGAGAAAAAGUAAGGACAAGUUUGGGGUCCUUAAGACUGAGGCCCACUGAACAAUCUUCACCAGCGUGUCACAGAUCUACUUAUGGGGAGAUUGUUGUCAAUGGUGAGGAUGCAUCCUCUAUUCAGGGUCAGUUGUGUGAUGAAGUUGACAGAAUGCAUUCAGCUUAAGCCAGCGCUUCAGGGAGGGCUUUACCAGUCUUGUGCCAAAGGUGCUUCACUUCCCAAAAUCUACUAAGCAAGAGUUGAGAUGCUUGCAGAUCUACCAGAUGCUGACUUUCGUGCGACUCUCACAUCCUUAAAGAGAAAGCGGAGAGAUUUGUCACACUGGGAGAGUGUGAUGCUGAUACUCCAUACCGAACUAUACAGUUGGUUGAAACUGACUGGAAAACGGCUUUCUCCAAGAGGGUUCAAGUUCUUGUCAAAGUGGAUCAGGUGGAGGUGUGUCAGGGAAUGGGAGUUGAAGAAGGGAUACAGUAAUUGCAGCUUUCAGUGCUUACUAUGUUUUCAACUUGGCUUAUCCACCCUGCAUGAAGAAUACACGGACCUUCUUGCAGCAUGCCAUAGCCAAGAUCAUUAAGGUGGGUGGCAAGCCCCUUCCAACAACUGUCACCCGAAUGAUCAAUAUCCUGUGCUGAACAUGCCACAACAUUAUUCAUGCACAAGGUGCAGAAGAAAAAAAGAAGGCCUUGCCUUGCCUAGAUGGUAUUAAACAGACUAUUCACGGCGUAUAAUUACCAGUGGUGUAUAAUUCACACUUUCAUGCAUACACAAACAAAGUUGACCCUGAGUGGAGUUUUAUAAAACCAGGGCAAGAGAUGGACUUCAGGCCCUUGACACAUACUCUCUUGAUGAUACUGUAAAAUGUUUGUGAUCCUCAAGAAUAUUUAAGAAGUUCAAAUGAAUUGUGUAGUACAUGUGUAGUUGUGUGAAAUGUGUGGUGGUGAUAAAAUGUUUUUUUUUUUUUUUUAAUUUAAGAGUAUAAAGUUAAUGAAUUGUGUACUGUUGUGGAAAAAACAACUGCUUUGUGAUUUUAAGGAAAGAAAAUUUGAGACUUAGUACUGUUUUGAAGUACUGUUUACUUUAAUGUUAUGUUUUAUAUAAAAAUGACAUGUUGUACUUCUUUUGAAAAAAAAAGCUUUACAUGUGAUGCUUGCUGUUUAAAACUGUAUAUUUAAAAGUGUAUUAACUUUUGAUCCUGCUAUGAGACAUUUGUAAUACAGUGCUUAAUGUUCAUAUGAAAAAAUGUGAGGAUUUUUAAAAAUAUUUAAUAAAUGUAAUGGAACAGCAUUUUGGCCUUUUUAAU